rnacentral:rRNA from 1 species
AACGAACGCUGGCGGCAUGCCUAACACAUGCAAGUCGAACGAGACCUUCGGGUCUAGUGGCGCACGGGUGCGUAACGCGUGGGAACCUGCCCUUAGGUUCGGAAUAACUCCCCGAAAGGGGUGCUAAUACCGGAUAAUUUCUUCGGACCAAAGAUUUAUCGCCUUUGGAUGGGCCCGCGUUGGAUUAGCUAGUUGGUAGGGUAAAAGCCUACCAAGGCGACGAUCCAUAGCUGGUCUGAGAGGAUGAUCAGCCACACUGGGACUGAGACACGGCCCAGACUACUACGGGAGGCAGCAGUGGGGAAUAUUGGACUAUGGGCGAAAGCCUGAUCCAGCAAUGCCGCGUGAGUGAUGAAGGCCUUAGGGUUGUAAAGCUCUUUUACCCGGGAUGAUAAUGACAGUACCGGGAGAAUAAGCUCCGGCUAACUCCGUG